UCGCAGAUAGCUGCUCUGCAGAGAGGAGGAGACAGCUUCCCACUCACAGCCGCCUCAGGCAAAGUGCUUGGAAAGGCGCUGCGUAGCUCUGACAGGAGCUCUAAGCCUGUGUACGUGUCUGUGGGCCACAAGAUCAGUCUGGACACUGCUGUACGCCUCACACACUCCUGCUGCCGCUACCGGGUCCCCGAACCCAUCAGACAGAGAAGAUCCUCUCACCUUACAUCAUGAGUGAAACAAACCCCUCCUUCCACAGCCUGAGAGAUUCAGAGGGAGAAAGAUGAAAGGGAAAGAUGACAUCAUGGUUGGAUUCUGCAUUGAAGGCUGAUGUGUGAAUGCACUGCAGCAGAAUCUUAUGUACCACAAUGAAAAAACAAAACACACAUAUACGCACACACACGUGCACACACACACACAGGACUCCAACAAAUUCACGCCCUAUCUCAGUCUUGCUCCCUCACACCAUUAAAUUCUCACACUCCUUCUGUAACCCACGCUUCACUUGAUAAAGCCUCAGAGAACAUGUGAUGGGAAGUGGUAGGUGAGCAGACACUUGCCUCGACUCAUCCUGUCUUUUGUUACUCUGCAGUCACUGUAACGAGUGGAGGUCAGAGAGAGGAAACUGACACAUCAGAGGGAUGUUAUAUUAGUGACCAGGCCAAAAAUCACAAAUCCAAUCUCUGUAGAAGCAUGUACUUGUUUUUGUUUAAUUGUCUCAUAGAAUUAAUGUCUCAAAACUCUGCUGUUAAUUGGCAUGCUGCCAUGUUACCAUAUAUAACCUCACAUUGGCAGAUUUAACUGGAUUGUCAAAUCUGUUCAAGGGAUUAAUGUCUGUAGACUCUGUGGAAAAAAAAUUACUUUUAAUUUGUGAAGGUACUGUAGUUGGCUAAGUUAUCCUAUUUUCCUGCAUGGCUCUGUUUGACAUGCACAGAUUUCUGUGUACUGUCAACUAUAUAUUUUACACAUCUAUAAUGUUCCGAUGAAGUUUUGUGGAAAGAACUGUGUAACUCAGCACUAUUAUAGGUAAAAUAGUGACAAUGUUCAAUAGGUUCGCUUCCAGUUUAUUCCAGUGAACUACUGAGCUAGUGUAACCAACAUCUUUCAACAUCAAGGACUCAGGCCUGGAUCUGAGCACACUUGACCCAAAGUCAAAGUCUGUGUGAUUAUUGUGGAUGUUGCGUACUGUCCACUACAUCAGGUGUGUAGUGUAGUGUACUCUUCUUCCUCUUUGUGUUUAUCUGCAUAUUGCAAACCAGCCAGGUGCAUAUCACCACCUGUUUUAUUGGAGUGUGUAGAUAUGCAAGUUUACUCAAGUGUGGAACAGCAGUAUUAAUGUGAAAGCUGUGGAGAGGUUGGCAGUCAUACUGCCAUGGUACAAAACAUUCAUACUUAAUACUGCACCCUCCAACAAUACACAAAAAUGUACAGUUUGUCCACAGGCAAGGUACAGUUCAACAUGUAUGAAGGAUGAAGUUUCCAAUUACAGACUGAUUACAAAUAACUUUUUAAUUGGGCAUAAAUGGAGCAGUUCUUUCAAGGAAAUUCCUCUGAGUCAAAUUGAAAAGGGAAAAGUGUACUGAUUACAUAGAUGCUGGGUAAAUAGUCAAAUGAGAGCAUGAAACGGUCCAGUUUUCUCAGCCUUUGUACAGUGUGGGGUUUAGAAGUGAAAUGAUAAGUCAGUCAACAGGAAAUUGGCUGUUUUCAUGAAACCGUAGAUCAAAUGUUUAAAUCUUUUUUCAAGCAAACAUGCCAAAUAAUCAUUGGUGCCUGCUUCUCUGAUGCUUGUUUCUGUUUUAUAUGGCUGAAAAUGAAUAUGUUUGGGUUUGGCUGAGCAAA